rnacentral:rRNA from 1 species
GACGAACGCUGGCGGCGUGCUUAACACAUGCAAGUCGAACGGAAAGGCCCUGCUUUUGUGUGGUGCUCGGGUGGCGAACGGGGGAGUAACACGUGAGUAACCUGCCCUUGACUUUGGGAUAACUUCAGGAAACUGGGGCUAAUACCGGAUAGGAGCUCCUGCUGCAUGGGGGGGGGUGGAAAGUUUCGGCGGUUGGGGAUGGACUCGCGGCUUAUCAGCUUGUUGGUGGGGUAGUGGCUUACCAAGGCUUUGACGGGUAGCCGGCCUGAGAGGGUGACCGGCCACAUUGGGACUGAGAUACGGCCCAGACUCCUACGGGAGGCAGCAGUGGGGAAUAUUGCACAAUGGGCGGAAGCCUGAUGCAGCAACGCCGCGUGCGGGAUGACGGCCUUCGGGUUGUAAACCGCUUUCGCCUGUGACGAAGCGUGAGUGACGGUAAUGGGUAAAGAAGCACCGGCUAACUACGUG